UCUCCUUCACGCGACGGCGCCGCUCGGACGAAUACCAAGAGGAAUUAGGGUUCCAUCUCCAGCGCCGACCAAGGGGUUUCUCCAAGGGCUUUUCACGGAUUCGUGAUCGUCUCGCUGGGGAGAGCACGAAGAUACGAAGGGAUCGCGGAGUAGUCACUGCCGAAAACCCUAGAAGCCUCUUCUCUUUUCGGUUGUAAGUCCAAGAACAGCGAGAUAAAGGAAAGGAAAAGAUACAGUGAAGGAAGGCGACAAGGAGAUGCAAAAAGGGGUGUGUGAUGUCUGAACUAUGGAGGCCUCGGGGCUCUGCUGAAAAGUUGUUAAGAGUCAUUGUUUAACUUGUUAGGGAUUAAAGGAUCGAUUCUCUUGUUAUUGAUUGAAUUAUCUUAUUCAGUAUUGCUAGAACUGUUUCUUAUUCCUUGCUGCUGAA